rnacentral:rRNA from 1 species
UUAGGAAUCUUCGGCAAUGGGGGAAACCCUGACCGAGCGACACUGCUUGAAGGAUGAAGGUCUUCGGAUCGUAAACUUCUGAACCUGCGACGAAAAAUGACGGUAGCAGGCUAAUAGCACCGGCUAACUCCGUGCCAGCAGCCGCGGUAAUACGGAGGGUGCUAGCGUUAUUCGGAAUUACUGGGCGUACAGGGUGCGUAGACGGCUUAUUAAGUCGGUUGUUAAAAAUCCCGGCCUAACCGGGAAAAUGCGGUCGAUACUGAUGAGCUAGAGGAUGGAAGAGAGAAGUGGAAUUCUCGGAGUAGCGGUCGAAUGCGUAGAUAUCGAGAGGAACACCAAUGGCGAAGGCAGCUUCUUGGUCCAUACCUGACGUUGAGGCACGAAAGCGUGGGGAGCAAAC